UCCAUUAUCCCCCCAUUCCCAUCAUUUCCACCACUCCCCCCAUUCCCAUUUUCCCACUAUCCCCAUUCCCAUCCCCCAUUCCCAGUCCGCCGACGCCGCCCGGGCGUUUUUCCAGCGGAAAAUCGAGUUCCUGACGCGGCAAAUGGAGAAAAUCCAACCGGCCCUGCAGGAGAAACACGCCAUGAAACAGGCCGUUCUGGAGAUGAUGACGCAGAAGCUGCAGCAGCUCACGGCGGCCCCGGGCGGGGCCAAGGCGUGACCCCCCCUUCAUCAUCCUCGGGGGGGCUCGAGGGGGUGGCCCCCCCAAAUCCCGGCCCUCUCAGCCCCCCCAGAUCCCCCCCCCCCGUUUUGUAGCAGCUUUUGCUGCCAACCCCCAAUAAAGGAGAGACGGAG